AUUGAACGCUGGCGGCAGGCUUAACACAUGCAAGUCGAGCGCGCGGCGGGCGGGAGAGAAAUGUCUGGGAAUCUGCCUUGUGGAGGGGGAUAACUACGGGAAAGGGGAGCUAAUACCCCAUAACCUCAGGUGUCCCAAUAGGGGAUUAGCUUGGGGGUGGGGUAAUGGCUCACCUAGGCGACGAUCCCUAGCUGGUCUGAGAGGAUGACCAGCCACACUGGAACUGAGACACGGGCCAGACUCCGACGGGAGGCAGCAGUGGGGAAUAUUGCACAAGGGGCGCAAGCCUGAUGCAGCCAUGCCGCGUGUGUGAAGAAGGCCUUCGGGUUGUAAAGCACUUUCAGCGAGGAGGUGUUACUCGCAGAAGAAGCACCGGCUAACUCCGUGCCAGCAGCCGCGGUAAUUC
rnacentral:rRNA from 1 species